rnacentral:rRNA from 1 species
GACGAACGCUGGCGGCGUGCUUAACACAUGCAAGUCGAACGGAAAGGCCCUGCUUUUGUGGGAUGCUCGAGUGGCGAACGGGUGAGUAACACGUGAGUAACCUGCCCUUGACUUUGGGUUAACUUCAGGAAACUGGGGCUAAUACCGGAUAGGAGCUCCUGCUGCAUGGUGGGGGUUGGAAAGUUUCGGUGGUUGGGGAUGGACUCGCGGGUUAUCAGCUUGUUGGUGGGGUAGUGGCAUACCAAGGCUUUGACGGGUAGCCGGCCUGAGAGGGUGACCGGCCACAUGGGGACUGAGAUACGGACCAGACGCCUACGGGGGGCAGCAGGGGGGGAUAUUGCACAAUGGGCGGAAGCCUGAUGCAGCAGCGCCGCGGGCGUGAUGACGGCCUGCGGGUUGUAAACCGCUUUCGCCUGAGACGAAGCGUGAGUGACGGUAAUGGGUAAAGAAGCACCGGCUAACUACGUG